rnacentral:lncRNA from 1 species
CCACCCAUAUCACCAAUUGCAUUCACAAGUAUCCCAUUCGUACAAUUAGCAUACUUAGUAACAAAUCCAAUGUACUAGUUAGUAGGAACAAACAUCUUGAGUUCACAACUGAAUCAAAUUAGACAUUCAUAUGAAAGAUGCAAAUAAUUAAGAAAUUAUACUGAAAACUAGAACUAAGUUUUCCUAUGAAGCUAAAAUCUAUACAUAAUAUAUAAUAUUUGUUCACUUAAAGACUAGAUCUUCUUUCUGUAGUUCCUCCUGGCUCCUGGAAUGCACUCCUGUUCUAAAUCUUCAGCUACCCUGAAAAAAGAAAGAUAACAUAGAAACUUUCAGAACAUAAGCUUUCAGUCUAGUGUAAGAAGAAAUGCUGAACUGCCAGGUGAUUCUUCAACUUUGUUGUCUGAUUCAUGUGGGAGGUCACUGCCAACUACUCUUCCAUUCAGAUCAACCUAAAACAAGAAUAUGAUAAUAAUAUAUUAAUUCUCAUACUUUUAUCUUUGUAGAAAGAGAUGUGGCUAAGAUACCAACUUCAUCACUUCCCUCAGUUACAAAGUCAUUUCUCCAAUCCUCUCCAGGGAAUUUUUGCUUCAGGAACGAACUCAUCAUAGCCAUCUCAUAUGUCAUGUUUUCUACAUUAUCACCUAGUGCCCGCAGUGCAAACUAAACAUUUUCUCCUUUCUAAGAAUGCCGAACAAAAGUCAGUCCCUGAGAGACUUUAUUUUGCUCCAAUACUUAUCACCAUAAUACCCUCAAAGUUUUUCACUUCUUCCCCAUGCACACUUUUAAAUACUUCUCUAUUAUCUUCCCAUGAAAGGCUCCCAUUGUUAUCUUUUGUUUUCUUUCUUCCAGUUUCUCCUGCUGUUGAAAUAAAUAUAAACAUCUCAUUAUACUAAGUAUUAAAUUAAAACCUUUACUUUAAUCACAAGUAGAAGUAUACCAUCACUUUCUUCGUAAGAAAUCAUUAAUUUUCUGGAGGGCCUUGUAAAUUUUCUUCAUCUGCUUGUACACUAUCAACAGCCUGCACUGGGAUGUUCAGGCUUCGAAG